AGGAUACGGUUAACGGAGCGAAAGCGACGUUCAACCUCAAAAGAAGCAGAGGGGGCUUAGCGGUGGGGUGACUGCGUACCUUUUGUAUAAUGGGUCAGCGACUUAUAUUCUGUAGCAAGGUUAACCGCAUAGGGGAGCCGGAGGGAAACCGAGUCUUAAUUGGGCGUUAAGUUGCAGGGUAUAGACCCGAAACCCGGUGAUCUAGCCAUGGGCAGGUUGAAGGUUGGGUAACACUAACUGGAGGACCGAACCGAC
rnacentral:rRNA from 1 species